AUAACACCUUAAGUAAAUGCCUUUAAGGAAUAUUUUAGGAGGCUUAAUGCAGAUACCAUAAUUUCUUACGUAUUUCUGUGAAAAUAUUUAAAGAAAGAAGAAAAUUUGAUUUAUUUAUGUUUUAUUUGCUAAAAUGAAUCUUCACAUGAACGGUUGAAUUUGACUCGAAAAAAAAAGUCAAAGAAAAUAUGAAUUUCUAUUCCUCAUUCUCUCUCUUGGCAAUUACGAUGGCGUCACUUUAUUUCUUAACCUCUGGUGCGAGAUUCACAAGAAAUGAAGCGAGGUGUGCUGUUCUUUGCUUGAACAAGAUGAGUGAAGAAUGCCGAAUUUGCAACACCAGGAUACCUAUGAGAUUUGGAAAACGAAGCGGAGAUUCGCCAAAUGGGCUUUUUAACGCCUUGGGGAUUGAACCUAAAACGGACUAUCGCAUCCUUGAAAUAUUUGAAGGUGACAGUCCCGAUUCAAGCUUUUCAGACGAAGAGUAAAAAAGCCAAAAUCUUUUUCGAUGUACCUAAUUAUGUUCAUUUGUGCACGAGUAAAACAUGUAUGUUAUUUAUAUUAAGUAGUAGAUAUAUGUAACAAUCAGCUCAGUUUUCUUGUCUCAUUCAUGAAGAUUUUGUGUACGAAUAUUUUUUUCUUCCCUUUCCUUAAGACUCGAUGGAAGUAACAAUCAUAAUGUAUAUUGUUUCAAUCACUAACUAUAUUAUAUUGCACAAUUUUCAAUUAAAUUUGUCAAUAAAGUUUAUUAAACAACCCCA